GACGAACGCUGGCGGCGUGCUUAACACAUGCAAGUCGAACGGAAAGGCCCUGCUUUUGUGGGGUGCUCGAGUGGCGAACGGGUGAGUAACACGUGAGUAACCUGCCCUUGACUUUGGGAUAACUUCAGGAAACUGGGGCUAAUACCGGAUAGGAGCUCCUGCUGCAUGGUGGGGGUUGGAAAGUUUCGGCGGUUGGGGAUGGACUCGCGGCUUAUCAGCUUGUUGGUGGGGUAGUGGCUUACCAAGGCUUUGACGGGUAACCGGCCUGAGAGGGUGACCGGCCACAUUGGGACUGAGAUACGGCCCAGACUCCUACGGGAGGCAGCAGUGGGGAAUAUUGCACAAUGGGCGGAAGCCUGAUGCAGCAACGCCGCGUGCGGGAUGACGGCCUUCGGGUUGUAAACCGCUUUCGCCUGUGACGAAGCGUGAGUGACGGUAAUGGGUAAAGAAGCACCGGCUAACUACGUGCCAGCAGCCGCGGUGAUACGUGGGGUGCGAGCGUUGUCCGGAUUUAUUGGGCGUAAAGGGCUCGUAGGUGGUUGAUCGCGUCGGAAGUGUAAUCUUGGGGCUUAACCCUGAGCGUGCUUUCGAUACGGGUUGACUUGAGGAAGGUAGGGGAGAAUGGAAUUCCUGGUGGAGCGGUGGAAUGCGCAGAUAUCAGGAGGAACACCAGUGGCGAAGGCGGUUCUCUGGGCCUUUCCUGACGCUGAGGAGCGAAAGCGUGGGGAGCGAACAGGCUUAGAUACCCUGGUAGUCCACGCUGUAAACGGUGGGUACUAGGUGUGGGGUCCAUUCCACGGGUUCCGUGCCGUAGCUAACGCUUUAAGUACCCCGCCUGGGGAGUACGGCCGCAAGGCUAAAACUCAAAGGAAUUGACGGGGCCCCGCACAAGCGGCGGAGCAUGCGGAUUAAUUCGAUGCAACGCGUAGAACCUUACCUGGGUUUGACAUGGAUCGGGAGUGCUCAGAGAUGGGUGUGCCUCUUUUGGGGUCGGUUCACAGGUGGUGCAUGGCUGUCGUCAGCUCGUGUCGUGAGAUGUUGGGUUAAGUCCCGCAACGAGCGCAACCCUUGUUCACUGUUGCCAGCACGUUAUGGUGGGGACUCAGUGGAGACCGCCGGGGUCAACUCGGAGGAAGGUGGGGAUGACGUCAAGUCAUCAUGCCCCUUAUGUCCAGGGUUUCACGCAUGCUACAAUGGCUGGUACAGAGAGUGGCGAGCCUGUGAGGGUGAGCGAAUCCCGGAAAGCCGGUCUCAGUUCGGAUUGGGGUCUGCAACUCGACCUCAUGAAGUCGGAGUCGCUAGUAAUCGCAGAUCAGCAACGCUGCGGUGAAUACGUUCCCGGG
rnacentral:rRNA from 1 species